rnacentral:ncRNA from 1 species
UGAAUUCACUAGGGGAGCCGUAGAGGCUGAGACGGAUAUGAAUCCGGACCCUUGGAACCUGAUCUGGGUUAUACCAGCGGAGGGAAGUGGACGCGGAUAUUC